CACAGAGAAGCAUUUCAAGAUAAUUGAAUUUUGUGUGCAGAGUUGCACCAACAUGGAGACGUACAGAUUAUGAAAAUACAGUAAAAUAGACACUGUCUUUACACUGGAUGACUGGGUGGUAAGUUGGCAAGAAUCGUGUAAGAGUUUCAGUACCCUGGAGCAAUCUUGCGAUGAUGCCAUGGGGCGGUAUAUAGCCCAGUAUAAAGGAUACAACAUGGGACGAAUUAGAACAUUGGCAUGAACAUGGUGACCAGAACUGUACACGGCAGUGGAUGAAUG